UACGGAGGGUGCGAGCGUUAUCCGGAUUCACUGGGCGUAAAGCGUGCGUAGGUGGUGAGUUAAGUCUGUCGUGAAAGCCCCGGGCUCAACCUGGGAAUGGCGAUGGAUACUGGCUCGCUAGAGUGCGGUAGAGGGUGGUGGAAUUCCCGGUGUAGCAGUGAAAUGCGUAGAGAUCGGGAGGAACAUCAGUUGCGAAGGCGGCCACCUGGACCAGCACUGACACUGAGGCACGAAAGCGUGGGGAGCAAACAGG
rnacentral:rRNA from 1 species